rnacentral:tRNA from 1 species
GGUUUUGUAGUGUAAUGAACAUCUUGGAUUGCAAAUCUUAGGAUGCGGAAGAGUAUUAGUCCGCCAGAACUU